rnacentral:rRNA from 1 species
AUGGCCGGAAUAAUGGUGAGCGCAUCUACUGGUGCGGUGAACUCCCUCCUGGGUAAGGUGACCACCAUCAUGGGGGAGGAGUUCACCAAGCUGAAAAACCUGCGAAAAGAGGUGAAGUUCAUCCGUGAUGAGCUUGGUAGUAUGAAGGAUGCUCUCGAGAGACUUGCAUAUGUGGAUGAGCUAGAUCCACAGACCAAGUGCUGGAAAAACACACUAAGGGAGUUGUCUUAUGACAUCGAGGACAUAAUCGAUGACUUUAUGCAAAACAUUGGGGACAAAGACAAGAACUCGGGGUUUGUCCGCAAGACCAUUCGACGUCUCAAAACUUUAAGAGCUCGGCACCAGAUUUCUCGACAGAUUGGAGAGAUCAAGAAACUUGUGCUAGAGGCAAGUGACCGAAACAAAAGAUAUGCCCUUGAUAAGAUUAUCCCCCCAUCAAGUAAUGUCGUUUCCAUUGACCCACGAGUUAAAGCACUCUAUGAAAAGGCAGCUAACCUUGUUGGCAUGGAGGGGCCAAAGAAUGAACUUGUAGAUUGGCUAAUUGAUGAGGAGAAGCAGUUGAAGGUAGUAUCAAUUGUGGGAUUUGGAGGUCUAGGGAAAACAACACUUGCCAAUGAGGUAUACCGUAGGCUGAAGGGCGAAUUUGACAUUGGUGCAUUCGUGCCGGUUUCUCGAAAACCUAACAUUCCACAUCUUCUCCAUAGUUUACUAUCCCAACUUGGGGUAGAGCCAUCUAUUCAUGCCCGCGAGUCACAUCUUAUUGACAAGCUCAGAGAAGUUCUAAAGAGUAAGAGGUACUUGAUAAUAAUUGAUGAUCUAUGGGAUGUAACAUCCUGGGAAACUAUUAAAUGUGCUUUCACAGAAAAUGAUCUUUGCAGCAGAGUGAUAGUAACCACAAGAAGUAAACGGGUUGCUAUGGCAUGUUGCCCCCCUAGCCGUGAUCACAUUUCUCGUGAUCACAUUUUGCAAAUGAAGUCCCUUAGCAAUGAAGACUCAAGAAGGCUAUUUUUUGGCAGGAUAUUUGGCUCAGAAGACGCUUGCCCUGACCAGCUCAGAGAUGUUUCGUUUGAAAUUCUCAAAAAAUGUGAUGGCUUGCCCCUUGCAAUUAUUAGCAUAGCAAGCUUGCUAGGAAGUGAAGGUCCCAAAAAAGAGGAGUGGGAACAUGUACGGAAAUCUUUGGGCUCAAUGUAUGGGACAAAACUCACACUGGAUGGGAUGAGAGAAAUCUUGAACCUCAGCUACAAAGACCUUCCAUGUCAUCUGAAGACAUGCUUGUUAUAUCUUGGUAUGUAUCCGGAGGACUACAUAAUAAAGAGGUCAGAUCUGGAACGCCAAUGGACGGCGGAAGGUUUUGUUAGUAAAGAAAAUGGACAAGACAUGGAGAACAUUGCUAGAAACUAUUUCAAUGAGCUUGUCAAUAGGAGUCUUGUUCAACCCGUAAGAUUUGACGGCAGUGGGUCGGUGACACAAUGCAAAGUACACGAUAUGAUGCUCGAUCUUAUCCUGUGUAAGUGUGCAGAAGAGAAUUUUCUCACUGUAGUGGAUGGUUCGCAAGACAAUACAACACAGAAAUACAAGGUCCGUCGGCUGUCUGUUCGCCUGAAUGGUGCAGCUAAUGCAACAUUAUUACUGGGGAAAAUUAGUUUGUCACAGGUUCGGUCCGUUAUGAUCUUUGGAUGGUCUAAUAUUAUACCUCCUCUGUCAAAUUUCAAAUUCCUCCGAGUUCUUUUUGUCGAGGAUUACAGGACAAUCGACCUCACCGGGAUCAGCGAACUAUAUCAGCUAAGAUAUAUACAUAUUGAUGGCACUCGUGAUUAUGUACACCUACCAACACAGAUUGGAGGGCUCCAACAAUUAGAAACAUUUGAUAUGCGCCGCUGUGCCAGUGUUCCAUCAAAUGUAGUUCAUUUGCCACGACUGUUGCAUCUGCGUAUUGAACAUGAUAGAGGGCUGCCUGAUGGGAUCGGCAAAAUGAAAUACCUGAGAUCUCUUGAUGGGUUUAAUUUAUCAGUGAACUCACUAGACAACUUCAUUGGCCUUGGAGAGCUGACCAAUAUGAGAGAUUUAACUCUCACCGGAAACAUGGUGAGACAUACGGAUGUUCUAUGCUCUUCUUUGAGAAAACUUUGUAGCCUCGAGUUCCUGUACAUAUGUACCGACGGAUGCAUGGAUGGCUUGUCUCCUCCUUGCAGCCUUCAAAUCCUCGCCACAAGCUGGUUACCAUGGGGUUGUUGGUUUUCCAGGGUCCCUAACUGGAUGAGGGAACUUCAUAACCUGCGUGUGUUGCGAUUCAAAGUUGAUGAGCUGCUCACGGAGGAUGUUGAUAUUGUUGGGGGGUUGCCAUCCCUCACAGACCUUAUUUUGUAUGUACGAAGACCCCGAAAAGAAAUGAUUGCAAUCAAUGGAACAGGAGCAUUCCCUGUUCUCAAACGCUUUGGACUCACCAUCAGUAGCCCAUCGUGCCUGACAUUUCAGUCUGGGGCAAUGCCCAUGCUCCAGGGCCUCUAUUUAACUUUCGGCGUCAAAGGAUGGAAGCAGAACGGGGCUGGACCAGCCGGCAUCGAGCACUUGCCUGCACUCGAAGAGGUGUCUGCAGAACUCCUCUACAAUGGUACUACAGAAUCUGAAAAAUGCAGCGCUGAAUCUGCCUUUAGGAAUGCUGUCGACAGGCAUCCCAACAAUCCUCGCAUCGCUAUGAAAUAUCGAUGCCAAUAUCUGUUAACUGGGAUAGGUUUGUGA